CCUCCGUCUGGGCACAGGAAUUGGUAAUCAAUCACGUUACCCUUGCUCUCGUGAUUCAACUGCACAAGAAAGUUAUCAUCAAUAUUUUUUGCUAGGAAGGAAAUAAUCCAGCAAGUCGUUGAUUAGAAAAAAAAUCCUCAUUUUGGAGUCAGCAUCCAAAAGGUCGUAGGAGAGAAAAUCGAACCUCGGCCAAUGAUCGCUCGCAAAGGAAAAUUACGCACUCUUAGCACUCGACUUUGAAAAAUGUAUUUGGCUCGUAACUCUACCGAGUCUCCAGCAAGUCGUUGAUUAGAAGCAAAAUGGAUCAUCGAUCAUCCCAGAAUUGAAAAUCCCCAUUUUGGAGUCAGCACCCAAAAGGUCGAAGGAGAGAAAAUCGAACCUCAGCCAAUGAUCGCUCGCAAAGGUGGGUAUUUUUCUCUAGGUAAGGAAAUAAUUAA